rnacentral:rRNA from 1 species
UACAGAGGGGGCAAGCGUUAUUCGGAAUUAUUGGGCGUAAAGGGCGCGUAGGCGGCUUGGCAAGUGGAUGGUGAAAUCCCUCGGCUUAACCGAGGAACUGCCGUCCAAACUGCUUUGCUUGAGACCGGGAGAGGUGAGUGGAAUUCCCAGUGUAGCGGUGAAAAUGCGUAGAUAUUGGGAGGAACACCAGUGGCGAAGGCGGCUCACUGGACCGGUACUGACGCUGAUGCGCGAAAGCGUGGGGAGCAAACGGG